CAAACCUGCACUACCAACUGGCCUGAUUUUCCUAUUUUUCAGGGAAUAAAUGUAGGCCGGGACUUGUUUGACAGUGAAAGCUAAAACAGGGAAAGAAAGUAAGAAAAGACAAGACCCGUCAGAUCCAGCUUGGAACGUUUCCAAGGGAUAUGUCCAGAUGGGGUCUGCUCCAGCUCCUCGAGGCCCAUUCUGGGGCUGCGGAGGUGACCCAAGCAUGCUGAGUUCAUGCCACUCCACAGCCUUCUCCUGCAAACCUUUCCCCACCUUUCUGCCAGAUCACAGGUAGCUGCUCCUCCCUUCUGUGCUUCCAGUGUUAAGCUGCUGAAAUGAGGAAAAUUCCCACCAUCCCCACAGCCACGUUUGCUGCAAAGAAUGCUUCCUGGUGAUCUCAGUUUUUCUACAGAGAUUCAGUCAUUCAUUCAUUCAACAACUAAUUUUUCAGCAGUAUAUCAGUCAAAAUCCCAGCAGGAAACAGAUGGUACCUUCACACUGGGUAACUGAGAAGAGUUUAAUAAAGGGAUUAUUUGCAAAUAUGGGCAGGAGUUAAGGAAACCAACAAGGGAUGAUGUCGUGCCAGGGGCUAGCAAGAAAUAGGAUCUGUUGCCACCUAAAGCAUCAAGAGGAGAGAGUGGUUAUAGAAAGCCAGAGAGAGUAGCUUGAUGGAGAGGCCUGCCUGGCAGGAGCUGUGCCUUGAGAAGAGGGAUGAAGGCAAUCCAUAGCAACGCAACAGGGAGGACAUCAAGGGAAUACAUCCCCUACGUUCACUCUCCUCCUCCCACUUGGCCACAGCCUCUGUUGGUUGCAUAUGAUCAGAGGCCAUAAAGCAGAAGAGCCUCUUGAUGGAGACAGGAGUUGGAGGACACAGUGGCAGCAUCAUUGCUCAUGUAGAGAAAACUUCUGGGAUAAAGAAUGUCCUGAGCUUCCCAUGACGACUGACAUAAACAGGAGU